GUUUCUUAAGACUUUCAGCUUCAUCACGGAGUGUCUCUCGGUUUGUGGGCUCAUCUAAAGCUGAGUAACAGGAGGAGAAGAGUCUGGUGGUGCAACAGAGGAACAAUUUCAGCCAUUUGGACUCAGCUCAGCCACUACAGAGGAAACAAUGACUUCAACACAAAAGGACCAACAUGGAGCGAGAAGUCAGUGAUCUCAGGAGGCCAACAAAUCUCACA